AGAUACCUGCCCGGUGGAACGUCGGCAUCUCAGCGAUAGGGCUAAAAUAAAGACAUCAAAGGAAAAGGGCGUGGUUCUUCUGCUGAUCUGCGCCUCUAUCUGCUAAUCAGGGUCCUUACACAGCGUUUGAAGACCCCGCCCACAUAUUCAGGUCAUCCCUCCCUACAGGCACUGCCAAUCAUGCCCGCUAGAUGGUUGACUGCCCAGCCGACCUGUAGCAAUGCCGAGUUGCAAACCGAUGAGUUCAGAGUCUCAGCACUGGUGUGCUAGCGGAAUAUCCCGCUGUCAUCAUGAUUA